rnacentral:rRNA from 1 species
CUUGCUUCUCUUGAGAGCGGCGGACGGGUGAGUAAUGCCUAGGAAUCUGCCUAGUGGUGGGGGAUAACGUUCGGAAACGGACGCUAAUACCGCAUACGUCCUACGGGAGAAAGCGGGGGAUCUUCGGACCUCGCGCCAUUAGAUGAGCCUAGGUCGGAUUAGCUAGUUGGUGAGGUAAUGGCUCACCAAGGCGACGAUCCGUAACUGGUCUGAGAGGAUGAUCAGUCACACUGGAACUGAGACACGGUCCAGACUCCUACGGGAGGCAGCAGUGGGGAAUAUUGGACAAUGGGCGAAAGCCUGAUCCAGCCAUGCCGCGUGUGUGAAGAAGGUCUUCGGAUUGUAAAGCACUUUAAGUUGGGAGGAAGGGUAGUAACUUAAUACGUUGCUACUUUGACGUUACCGACAGAAUAAGCACCGGCUAACUUCGUGCCAGCAGCCGCGGUAAUACGAAGGGUGCAAGCGUUAAUCGGAAUUACUGGGCGUAAAGCGCGCGUAGGUGGUUCAGUAAGUUGGAAGUGAAAUCCCCGGGCUCAACCUGGGAACUGCUUUCAAAACUGCUGAGCUAGAGUACGGUAGAGGGUGGUGGAAUUUCCUGUGUAGCGGUGAAAUGCGUAGAUAUAGGAAGGAACACCAGUGGCGAAGGCGACCACCUGGACUGAUACUGACACUGAGGUGCGAAAGCGUGGGGAGCAAACAGGAUUAGAUACCCUGGUAGUCCACGCCGUAAACGAUGUCAACUAGCCGUUGGAAUCCUUGA